UGUGAUUAGUGUCUAAAAGUGCUUUAAAGAUAUAUAAUUUACAAGACAUUUUACAUUCACUUUGUUUAAAAACACUAAUGUUAGUCUCUAAUUCCAAUUCUCAUGCCGUAAAUUCAAUUUCCAUAAAUACAUGGUUAAAAAUGCAAUUAAUUGAAAUACGUAUUUACAUACAUGUCGGCAUGAGUAUUAUACAUUUGAAAGAGUAUCUAUUUGAUGUAUUUCACAUGUAUUUCCAAUUUAGAACAAGUGGAGCAUGUGGGGGAAAAUAAUGUUGAAAAGUCAAAAAUAGUGACUGCCUCAAGCAAGAAGCAGCUGUUGGUAAAAUAAUCAUAACUUGAGCUACAGACAUUGGAUCGAGGUGAUUAAAGUUGGGUUGGAAAGAUAAGGAAAGUGUCUACAACUUUCAUGUUUUGGAAGAAGUCAUAUUCGUAUCACAAGGCAGCCAAAAUUAUCGUGCAAAGUCCAGCUUGAUACCUGCCGGAUACAGCUU
rnacentral:lncRNA from 1 species